rnacentral:lncRNA from 1 species
GGGAUCAUUUAUAUUUUUAGCUUGUAUUCUGUAUGCCGCGGUGACAAAAAAGCAUAUUUUUGGUGUUACAGCUUACUUUGGUGUUAUUGACAGGACGAAAACACUCCACUUAUAAUAGUCAGGAAGGAUCUAUGAAUUUCAAUGACUGCGAAGAGUAAAUAUAAGCACCUCUAAACAAUUUAAUUUACAAAUAUUAUGAAUUUAUUU